rfam:Anaerotruncus colihominis DSM 17241 Scfld_02_16 genomic scaffold, whole genome shotgun sequence.
CGAACCGGUAGAGGCGCGUCUUUCAUAAGUAUCCGGAAUCAGACUGCCAAGGUCGUAAAAAUCCGCGGGAAAGGGACAGACGCCGAAGGGAAUGCAUGGCAAGCGUUGCCCUGGGCGCAUGGCUGAACAAGCAUGCGACUGUCAUCAUUGUACUAUGAUGGAGUGCUAUGGAGACG